AGACCUCUGCGGUGUUCGACACCGGAUCAAUAUCUGCCGACCCGACUACAGUCCGCAGGGAUUCGUGAGUCUGCAACAGCGUGUAUAUCUGCGGUUCGUCCUUUGAGGCGAAUUGACAGCUCCCACAAGUUGUGGCGGCGAUGCCCACCUUAAUCUGCGGGUCUGUGCAAAUCAGAUCCCCCGGCAUUCAGCGGAGGUUCU
rnacentral:other from 1 species